CCUGCCGGCUAAAAUGCCUCAAUGCUGUGUGCCAACGUGUUUCAAUCGAUCGGAGACAAAACAACCACACAGCUGUCAUUCUACCGCUUUCCUUGCAACGAAAAUACAAGAGGAAAUGGCUGCAGUUAAUAAGGUUUCUGUCAUCAGGAUGUUAACAGAGGAGGACAAGCUGUGGCAGCAGUCUUACCUAUCCUACCAGAGUUUAAGCCACAGUCUCCCCUGAACCAGUUGGCAAGAACCACGGUGGAAACCAAAUCUGCAGAUUGGUCAUCAUGACCUGUAAUUCAUCAGAGGAGGGUCUUGCAGCUUUCUCCUCAAGCUUCUACAUCUUCAGCCUGGGGUAUCAGGAGCAAGCUCUGAUCACACUGGAGUUGAACAAGACGUUUAGUGUGAAUCAGCCCCACCUGUGUCAGGUACCAAGACAUCAGACCUCAUCAGUGAAAAAAGGAGGAAGGUCCAUGAGAGGGGGAAACAACUCAGUCAAACCUCGCCUAUCCUCUCUUAAGAAUAUGAAUGGACUCUAAGGACUGUGCGUGAGUCAUAUCCAAAUAUGUGGACUCUUGUGUACGUGGUUGCUUGUUGUGCUUUUACAUCUUUUACCUGUAUCUUUAGCUGUAGGUCUUUUAUUUCUGAACAUGUUUUGUAUUCAUAUUUGUGGUCUGUGUCACUCAUAACUACUAAAUGUUGUGUAAAAGUAGAUUUAUUUAGCUAGCAGCCACUCACAGGCUCUAAUUAUUGUCCUGUAUAGUGCCAAUCCAAAUUUUUAUUUCACUCGUGGUGUUUGUCAGUUUAUCCAUAAUUCUCCUGACAGUGAAUUACUGGAGUUCAUAACAUUAAUAGAGUAACACUGUAUUGCAUUGUUCUAUGAAAAUAUCAGA